AAAAGGUUACUUAAGGCGUACGGUGGAUGCCUAGACUGAAGCAAACGAUGAAGGACGUAGCCGGCUGCGAUAAGCCUCGGGGAGCUGCCAAGCAAGCUUUGAUCCGUGGAUUUCCGAAUGGGAAAACCCACCCGUCACUCUCGAGUGACGGGUAUCAUUAUCUGAAUACAUAGGAUAGUGAAGUAAACCCUGGGAAUUGAAACAUCUUAGUACCAGGAGGAAAAGAAAACAAUUUACCCCCACACUAAUUUUUUGUAAAUUUAUUUUGCUAGAUAGUUUGUUAUAAGCAGGGUAUUUUUAUGGAAAUUGGUGUGGGGGUUAUAGUGAUUCCGUCAGUAGUGGCGAGCGAACGCGGAAUAGCCUAAAACCUGUCGCCCUCGGGCGACGGGUGGUUGCGAGACAACGCAACUCGUUUAAUCGGGAUCUAAAUAUUUUUCUUAAUAGAACACUUUGGAAAAAGUGGCCAUAGAAGGUAAUAGCCCUGUAUGUGAAAAGAAAAGUGUUGUGAUGGUAUUGUUCUCAAGUAGGGCAGGACCGGUGAAAUCCUGUCUGAAUCCGGGAGCACUAAACUUCCAAGGCUAAAUAUUGCUUCAGAUCGAUAGUGAACUAGUACCGUGAGGGAAAGGUGAAAAGCAUCCCGAUGAGGGAGGUGAAAUAGUACCUGAAACCAUACGCUGACUCAGAGUCGGAGCCGAUUUAUCGGUAACGGCGUGCUUUUUGCAGAACGAGCCAACGAGUUAAUUCUAUGCGGCUUACAUAAGCUACUUUUGUAGAAUAUGUAUAGUGAAAGCGAGCUUUAAAAGGCGACUUGUCGCAUGGAUUAGACCCGAAACCAGGCGAG
rnacentral:rRNA from 1 species